rnacentral:tRNA from 13 species
CAAGGCUUACAUAAAUGUGCUAGCUGCUGAUUUGGGAUCAGAGGGUCGUAGGUUCGAAUCCUAUCGCUCCGACCA